UACGUAGGGUGCAAGCGUUGUCCGGAAUUAUUGGGCGUAAAGAGCUCGUAGGCGGUUUGUCGCGUCUGCUGUGAAAACCCGAGGCUCAACCUCGGGCCUGCAGUGGGUACGGGCAGACUAGAGUGCGGUAGGGGGAGAUUGGAAUUCCUGGUGUAGCGGUGGAAUGCGCAGAUAUCAGGAGGAACACCAAUGGCGAAAGGCAGAUCUCUGGGCCGUGAACUGAUGCUGGAGGAGCGAAAGCAUAGGGGAGCGAACAGGGG
rnacentral:rRNA from 1 species